UGGGGAAUUUUCCGCAAUGGGCGAAAGCCUGACGGAGCAAUACCGCGUGAGGGAUGACGGCCUAUGGGUUGUAAACCUCUUUUUUCAGGGAGGAAUCAAUGACGUGUACCUGAAGAAUAAGCAUCGGCUAACUCCGUGCCAGCAGCCGCGGUAAGACGGAGGAUGCAAGUGUUAUCCGGAAUCACUGGGCGUAAAGCGUCUGUAGGUGGUUUAAUAAGUCAACUGUUAAAUCUUGAGGCUCAACUUCAAAAUCGCAGUCGAAACUAUUAGACUAGAGUAUAGUAGGGGUAAAGGGAAUUUCCAGUGGAGCGGUGAAAUGCGUAGAGAUUGGAAAGAACACCGAUGGCGAAGGCACUUUACUGGGCUAUUACUAACACUCAGAGACGAAAGCUAGGGUAGCA
rnacentral:rRNA from 1 species